ACACAUUUAGACAAGCUCGGAUGUUAAAGAAAGAGGGGAAUAUAAUGUAUAUGCUGUAUGAUGAUAAAGGCAAGAUUCGGUUACCUAACCCGAACCUUGGCCUCUACUCUGUGCAAAACUUUUUGAUUGAGAUUGCAGCAACAAAAAUGGAACCAGGACCAUGCCGCUGCAGUAGAAGAGUUGAGACAAGAUACAACAAUAAUGAAUGACAACAUCACAACCAUGAUGCGGUUCUGUAACAUCGGGUAAGACCCACGGCAACAUCCAGCUUGGGGGAGUUUCUCCCUAAAUUUAUCAAGUAAGUUUUUAUUUGCUCUUCUUAUUUAUUUCUAUUCUAGUAUUUAAUUUACCUUAAAAGGAAAAUUUAGAAAACCAAAUAAAUAUUUUUCUUGCUUUAAUUUACUGCACUUUAUAAAAAUGAAAACAAAAUAAAAAGAGUGUGUAGAUAAGUGUGCUUUAUUUUUCUGCUAAGUUUAAUCUCUAGAAAAAAUAAAAAGACCAAAAAUAUGCAUGAUGGAAAUGAUGAAUAGUUGCUCUGUUUGCUUACUUACAAGUACCUAGCUUUUAUAUUAGAGUUCUUCUAGGAAUUACUAAAACUAAAAUUACUAUCUUUAAACUAAAGUCUAGGUAAGAGAAAGGCAUGAUAUAAAGUUGAGCCACUGUUUAUCUUGUUCCUACUACACUAAGUUCUAGAGAUUUAUUUUGAAAACUUACAAAUCACAUGAUGAGUUCCUAGCAUAACAAACUACCUACCACAGCCAUACUUGCUAUAACAUCUUUUACUAUAUUUACAUUGAGUUUGAUCGAGCUGUGUCGACCCUUAGGAGCUUUUUAUGUGGUUAAAUUAAGAUAUUCACUUGCACACAUCUACCACAGCAUCCACCACCAUUCAUUAAAAUUGCUAAAAAUAUUAUCACUCACUGUCCCAAGUAUUGUUAUUCUCUCUCUCUAAAAAGAUUCAAUGCAGAAGAGACAUGGGUUAUGCAAAAAUAUACGAGGAAAUAAAAAGGGGCAAGUGCCCGGAAACCUCGGAAAAGAAAGAAAAAGAGUGAGACGAGAGGUAAAAAUGGACAAGUGUCCGAAGUAGAAUUAGGGGUACAAAGAUGCCCACUUGAGCGGAAAAAAUGGACAAGUGUACGACAGUAGAAUUAGGGGUAUCUACUACCCACCUGAUAAAAAAGAAAGAGAAAAGAAAAGAAAAAGAUAGCCCAUGUUCUUCCAAGGCAAAGAUCAAAGAGGAGGAGAGAUAGCAAUAUAAGGAGCAAUGAGAACUAAGUUUUAUUAUCACUUAUGCAUUUUCACUAUCAUUUACUCCACCACACAUGCACAUCUUGAUUUAAUUAUAUGCUGAGUUCCUUUGGAUCCAUGGCUCGAUUAGACAACAUAUGUAUGAGCUGUUUUCCACUCCUAUGAGCUCC
rnacentral:lncRNA from 1 species